AAUUUGACAGACUUGUUGCUCAGGUCCAGUCUCUGCCAAUUGACAGCAUUGAUCGCCUGGAGGGCGUCAUCAACCUCAUAUUUGAAAAGGCCGUUGAUGAACCCAGCUUCUCCGAGGCGUACGCAAGAAUGUGCAAAGUUCUGUCCGGCACGCAAGUUCCUGCAGAGUGCGAGAUCAAGGAUGAACCAGAGAUUAACUUCAGGAAGCUGCUGCUAAACCAAUGACAGAAUCAGUUUAAAAAGGAUUCUGAGGUGGAGCUGGAUCGAGAAGCAAGGCGUAAAGAGAUUGAGGAAGCAGCAGAGCUAG